GUAACACACAAUGUCUCUGGUGGAAGCACACGCGUUGGACUCCGAUCCAGAGCUAAUCACAAACCAUCUGUGGCUCGAGCCCCGACACACCUGUGGAGCACAGCAACAGCUUCCAGCAGCUGAAAGCAGAGGGGAAGAAACUGUUCUUAUGGCGAGAGGUUCUGGUGCGAAUGGACCGGAGCCUCCUGCCUGAGGGGAGCAGGUCAAACAGACUGUGUCCAGGGUGAGAAGGGUCAGCUGAGAUCCGAGCUGCACGCCCCAGUGUCCUGGAGGUGUACAGGUCCUGCAAAGAUGGGAGUCUGCAG
ensembl:lncRNA